rnacentral:rRNA from 1 species
UUUGGCGGUCAUGGCGUGGGGGUUAUACCUGAUCUCGUUUCGAUCUCAGUAGUUAAGUCCUGCUGCGUUGUGGGUGUGUACUGCGGUUUUUUGCUGU